rnacentral:rRNA from 1 species
UACCAGCACCCCGAGUGGUCGGGACGAUUAUUGGCCUAAAGCAUCCGUAGCCGGCCUUACAAGUCCUCCGUUAAAUCCAGCUGCUUAACAGAUGGGCUGCGGAGGAUACUAUAAGACUAGGAGGCAGGAGAGGCAAGCGGUACUCAGUGGGUAGGGGUAAAAUCCGUUGAUCCAUUGAAGACCACCAGUGGCGAAGGCGGCUUGCCAGAAUGCGCUCGACGGUGAGGGAUGAAAGCUGGGGGAGCAAACCGGG